rnacentral:rRNA from 1 species
AGCCGANCGGUAAGAUUUGUAGCAAUACGAGUCCUAGAGUGGCGCAAGGGUGCGUAACACGUAUGCAAUCUACCCGCAACAGGAGGAUAGCUCCCCGAAAGGGGAAUUAAUACUCCAUAAUAUCAUUUGAGGGCAUCUGAGGAUGAUUAAACCUGAGGGGGUUGUGGAUGAGCAUGCGUCUGAUUAGCUAGUUGGCGGGGUAACGGCCCACCAAGGCGAUGAUCAGUAGGGGAACUGAGAGGUUGAUCCCCCACACUGGCACUGAGAUACGGGCCAGACUCCUACGGGAGGCAGCAGUAGGGAAUAUUGGACAAUGGGUGAGAGCCUGAUCCAGCCAUGCCGCGUGCAGGAAGACGGCCUUCUGGGUUGUAAACUGCUUUUAUCUGGGGAUAAAAAGGCCUUGCGAGGCAAACUGAAGGUACCAGAUGAAUAAGCCACGGCUAACUACGUGCCAGCAGCCGCGGUAAUACGUAGGUGGCAAGCGUUGUCCGGAUUUAUUGGGUUUAAAGGGUGCGUAGGCGGCUUAUUAAGUCAGUGGUGAAAGACGGUAGCUUAACUAUCGAGGUGCCAUUGAUACUGAUGAGCUUGAGUACAGUUGAGGUAGGCGGAAUGGACGGUGUAGCGGUGAAAUGCAUAGAUAUCGUCCAGAACACCGAUAGUGAAGACAGCUUACCAAGCUGUAACUGACGCUGAGGCACGAAAGUGUGGGGAUCAAACAGGAUUAGAUACCCUGGUAGUCCACACUGUAAACGUUGAUAACUCGCUGUUGGCGAUACACAGUCAGCGGCUAAGCGCAAGCGAUAAGUUAUCCACCUGGGGAGUACGCCGGCAACGGUGAAACUCAAAGGAAUUGACGGGGGUCCGCACAAGCGGNGGAGCAUGUGGUUUNAUUCGAUGAUACGCGAGGAA